rnacentral:rRNA from 1 species
UUCCAGACUCCUACGGGCGGCCGCAGUCGGUCCUCUUGCGCAAUGUCUUCCACUCUGACUCCUUCACGCCGCGUCUCUGAAGAAGGUUUUCGGAUUGUAACCUCUUUUCGUUAGGGCCGCGAAAGGACCGUCCCUAAGGAGGCCGCUCCGGCUAACUCCGUGCCAGCAGCCGCGGUCAUACGUAGGGCGCGAGCGUUAUCCGGAAUUAUUGGGGGUCCAGGGUGAGGAGACGGGAAAGCAAGGGAGUUGUGAAAGCCCUCGGCUUAACGGAGGAACUGCAACGAAAACUGCGUGUCUUGAGGGCAGGAGAGGUAAGGGGAAUUCCUAGGGGAGCGGUGAAAUGCGGAGAUAUUAGGAGGAACACCAGUGGAGAAGGAGACUUACGGGACGGUAACUGACGGGGAGGCACGAAAGGGGGGGGAGCAAACAGGAGUAGAUACCCCCGUAC